GCGGCGACCACCGGAGCUCACGCUUCGACCUACAUGUACUUCCACGGCGACGGCAACGACUUGAUCUGACACGAGCCAUCCCCUCCUGGUAACUAGCAGAUAGCCUGAUAUUUUGUAGCGAUUGGGCUCCGAGACAGAAAAGCAUCAUGGUGUACCCUGGAUUGAGGAGAUGCAUAGUUCAGUGAAGUUUUGUGUGGUUUGAGGAAGAUCAGAAAGAAAAGAAGGAACCUUACCUUUUUUGGUCUUCUUGGUUCACAUUUUGAAUAGAUGGGCAUUGGACAUGCGCCGCUCAACUGGGGCAAUUUAGUUCUGUGUGCUCUUCCACCUGCGUACAUCCUCCUAAGUCGGUGCGCCUAAGUCAUGCGUUCUUUAUAAAAACGUGAUUUUCUCACAAACAGAUCAAAGAUGAGCUUCUGAACAUUGGCCAUUCAGGUAUGCCAUGCAUAUACGGAGGAUGAAUUCAACAAUUACCUGUUCUCCAAUUUGAUCUUUGUUGGUAGCCAUGCCUUGCUCCGUCUAUCUGAAUUUGCUAUCAGCCACGCUGUCACUACUGUGUUAGUUACUGAAGUCAUCGACAGUAUAACAGUCCAGCACGAUAUUUACAGCAACAAGAACAUCUGCCUGAAGCUAGACCUACCAUUUUCUGUCAUCUAUGAUCUAUGCAUGUAAAAGUCGUUUUUUCCGUGCCAACAUUUAUCUCUAUGUAAGUAAUAGCUUUGAUAUGUGAAAAAUAUUUCAAACUUGGUUAGUACAUGGAGAAGGGUGAAGCCAGCAAGGAGAAGUUACGGAAAUUAAGUUGGUUUUAAAUGAAUAAGUGUAGUAGUAUGCUAAGCAGAACACAUAUGGUUUCACGUGCCAGAUUAUACAAAUCUGUGCGUGCAAUUCUGAAACAAUUAUCCUA